CCCUCUCUGACAACCCCCUCGCGGUCUUUUCGCCCGGGGCCGCGUCCCACUCGGCGGUCGUGACGCCCGCGAUGAUUGCCGCGGUUCCCGAAAACCGCGGCGAGCCGUUAUCACCGAGUAUUAUGAUCGUCGCGUCGCCGCCGUACGCCGUGCGUAACAACGCGUGUAUUUGUAUUUAAUACCGUGCGGCCGCGGUCAUAACGACGCGAGGUGCGCACGCACUCUUCGCGGAUUUUUUAUUAUUUAUUUUUUUUUUUUUCAUUUUUUUCAUUUCGCUCGCGCGUAUUUAUUUUUAUUUUUUUUUUUUUUCGUCUUUCUCGGAUACUGAGAAACUUUUAAAUCCGCGCGAUACUCGAUAACUGUACACUAUAUUGUGUCGCGCACGCGGGACCGUGCGGAAUUAUCGCGGGACGCCUACGCGCACUGGCUCGUCACCGUCCGUCGUUCUCGGUUCAAAUCGGCUACACGUAUACGUAUAUAUAAAUAUACACGCACGCACGGGCGCUUGUAAUUUUAUUCCCGCGACCGUUAUUCAUCUUUCUUCGGUUUUUUUUUUUUUUUUCUAAAACGCGUAAUCGGCACGUACGCGCGCGAUUAAAACGCGAUAUUGUUUUCUGGGUUUUUCGCCGGAUUUCGAUGUUAAAAAACACCGAAUCGCGCCACUGCGAUUAUCCGCUGCACGUCCGGUGUAAAAUCGACGGCCGUCCGUUGUCGCCGCCGCCGUCAGUCUACUUGAUUUUCAUCGUUAUCUUUCCC